UCUGACUGGGCUUUCCAAAGGUGGUAAGAGAGACACAAUUUCCAAGAAAACAUCACUCCUUUCUUCUUUCAGGAAAACAAGAUACUUGGGAUUCCUGGGUUCCUCUUCUGACUUAGACAUUAAUUCACUGUCUGGCCUUAGCUCGCUAACAGCGACAGCCAUGAAAAUGAAUGAUUUGGCUUCACCCAAAAUGAUGGAUAAUCCUGCUGGAAGAGCAUGACAAUG